CAUACACUGGGGAAAAGAAUUCUUAUUCAAUAAAUGGUGCUGGGAAAAUUGGAUAGCCACAUGUAGAAGAGUGAAAUAGGAUCCUCACCUUUCAACUCUCACAAAAAUCAACUCAUGGUGGAUAAUAGGCUUAAACCUAAGACAUGAAACUAUAAGAAUUCUAGAGGAAAAUGCUGGAAAAACUCUUACAGAUGUUGGCCUGUUUUCUAUUUCAUUGGUUCCCUCUCUGAUCUUUAUUACGUUCUAUCGUUAACUUCUUUGAGUUUAAUUUGCUCUUCUUUUCCUAGUUUCUUAAGGUAGAACCUGAGGUCAUUGAUUUGAAACCUUUCUUCUUUUUCAAUAUAGAUUUAUUGUGCUACAUAUUUCUAUAAAUCUAUUGUGCUAUAUAUUUCCCGUUACUUAGUGGCAUCCCACAAAGUUUGAUAUGGUGUGUUUUUAUUUUCUCUCAGUUUAAAGAAGUUCUAAUUUAUCUUAGCAUUUUUCUUUGACAUAUUAUUUAGAAAUGUAUUGCUUUGUUUCCAAUCAUUCGUGAGAUUUUUCAGAUAUCUUUCAGUGAUUGAUUUCUAAUAUGACUCCAUUGUGAACAGACAACAAACUUUGUAUGACUUGAAUCCUUUUCAAUUAACUGAGACUAUUUUGUGGCCCAGAAUGUGGUUUAUUUUGAUGAAUGUUCCCUGUGUACUUGAAAAGAACAUGCUUUCUGCUGAUGUCAGAUAGAGUGUUCCAUAAAUGUCAGUUUGGUCAAGUUGGUUAGAGUUGUUUAAAUUUACUAUCUACUUACUGACUUUUUGUCUAUGUGUUAUAUCAAUUAUUGAGAGAAGUGUGUUGAAAUAUCUUUUUGUUCUCUGUUUUAUUUUGGAUAGUUUCUAAAACUGUAUCUUCAAGGUCACUAAGUUUUGCUUCUGAAAUAUCUAAUCUGUCAUUAAUCUUGUCCAGUACAUUUUUAUCUCAGAUAUUGUAGUUUUAUCUAGAGACAUUCAAUUUAAAUAUUGUUUGUAUCUUCCAUGUCUUUAUAUACCUUUUGGAGUAUAUGAAACACAGUUAUAACAGCUGUUUUAAUGCCCUUAUUUGCUCUAAUUCUAAUAUCUGUGUCAGUCCUUGGUUAGUUUUGAUUUGGCCCAAUUUUCCUGCUCUUUUGUGCAGUUGAUCAUUUUUGAUUGGCUAUCCAGGCAUUGUGAAUUUUACCUUGUUAGGUGCUGGAUAUUUUUGUAUUUCUAUAAAUAUUCUUUUUUUUCCCUAUAAAUAUUCUUGAGUUUUGUUCUGGGAUUCAGUGAAGUAACUUAGAAACAGUUUGAUCCUUUUGGAUCUUUCUUUUUUGAUUUGUUAGGCAGGAUCACGGCUGUGCUCAGUGGGGCUAAUUAUUCCCCACUGCUGUGGCAGGACCCUUCUGUGUACUCUAGCCACUGCCCAUGCAUCCUUCCAUGUUCCAGUCUUUCUGGUGGGAACAAGCACUAUUUCCAGCCAUGUGUUAUCCCUGGGCCUGGUAACCCCUUAUCCUUUUGAGUGGCUCUUUCUUGGGUAGUAUCCUCACUCAUAAGUGCUGGUCAAAACUCAAUUAAAUGCUCCAGGGGGACUCUCUGCAACCCUCCAGAGUUCUAUCUCUGAGCAGCUCUCUUCUCCUCAGUACUCUUCCUCGAGAAUUCUAGCAGCCUCGGUUUCCCCAGACUCUCAGCUCCUUCUCCUGAAUUCAAGGGGCCUGCUGGUUCCUCUGUGUUUCUUCUCUUCAUGCUGCGGCAUCCUAGAAUCCCUCUCAAGGCAGUGGACUGGGGGAUAUCUAAGGCUCAUGUCAUUCUUUUUCUACCUUUUGGGGAUCCCUGCCCUUCCAUGCCUGCGGUCCAUUGUCUUGAAAAUUGCUGUUUCGUUUUUCUGACUGUUUUAGGUAAGAGGGUAAAUUCAGUCUAUUAUUGCAUCUUGGCCAGAACCUUGAUCCUGGGCAAAUGUUUCAAUCUCAGUGUCCAAUUUUCUCAACUUUCACCUCUGUUUCAUAGAGCUGCCAUAGAGUGUGUCAGCUGAUCAACGUAGAGCACUUAGAACAUGCCUAGUGUGUGAUAAGUGCCCUUCCUAUUUCAGAAGAGAGACUUAUGGAGGCCCAAAGGGACAUUGGUCCAGUAGCUCUUCCUGAGAUUGCCAAAAGAAUCAUGGAGACAGUGCCUAGAAUAUUAACAGCCCUCUGAAGUCAGACAGUGGUUGGAGCUGCAGUCCGCAGAGGUUUAGAGUGCUGCCAGGGGUGGCACCAUCCCUGCCAUCUCUCAGGGUACUCUUGGAGUGUAAGAACAGUCCAUGUGGCAAACUGCCCUAAGUGGCCAAGGAACCUAUGAAGGACUCAUAGAUCCAGACACUUGUUGCAGCUGGUGGUCUAUUGUCAGGCUUAGGGAUGAUAUGGGGCAUCUACUAAGAUAUCUGUUGGAAAGUAGUUUGGGGUUCAAAUAAUCUACAAAAAAAUGUUUACAGAACAUUGGGAUGAUCUACUUGGGACCCUUCACUGGGCUGAUGAGAAUAUUGAGUCAUGGGAAGGUUGAGUGACUUGUCCCAAAGGAUUUCCCAAUAGGUUUUGAUUAGGAACCUGUCUAGGGGGUGUAGCAACUGCUGGGAGGACCUUGCCCAGAGCCUCCCACCCUUACCACUUCAUGGUGCCCAACUUGGGCAUGGGUGCCCACGUUCUGGUUGCCGGCACCGACACUCCUUUGUCUGAUGGCUUUGUUUGGGUCAUGAGGCAUGUUUUGCCUGUCUAGUGGAAGCCUGACAGUUUGAGGAAAUAGCACUCUUGUCUAGGAAUCACCCUCAAUCCAUGACUGCGGGAGUUGGUGUAUAAAUACCCCGGCUUCCUUGCCUCAGAAGCCCAUGAUUUCCACUGCUUCCUAGAAUUCUCCUGUGGGAUUGAUCUCUGGUUGCCCACAGUGGUAGCUGGUUUUAUGACACACCUUUUAAUGAGGGCCUUCACUUUACUGACUCAUUUCUCUACCUCCUACUGGUGUUUCCUGGGACCCCCCAAAGGCAUGACUUGCCUCUGAAUCCUUGUCUUGGUGUCUGCUUCUGGGAAGAAUCCAACACUAAGGCAGAGGCUACGUGGGGACAAUUUACAAGCCUCAGGAAAGACAGAAUCAACUAAGGCAGAAAUCCCUUUUUAAUGUAAUGUUAUGAAAGAGGAAAGAAAGAAUUACUGCUAUGAAGCUGUAAUCUAAAGAUUAGACAGAAGCCUUAGAGGAAAUGAUCACAAAAUAAUCAAAUCCGUGAUGAUCUCAACAGGAAUAAGCCAGAAAAUGAAGAGAGUUCAGUUCAGGAAAGCAGAUUUGCUUAGGUUUUCUCUCCAGCCGUUUUCCCCAGCCAUUAUAGGAAUGUGAGAGAUGGAUACAGAUGUUGGAGCUAUUAUUUGACAGCCUUAAGUUUGCUUAAAAAAGAAAAAAAAACGAAAACAACUAAGCAGAGUCUCAGAAGGACAGAAAUGAUGAGAAACCAAUCAAGGACUCACUGCAGACUCCAUGUAGCUAAAGCACGUUGGAAAUGGGGCCAUAUCCUCAAAGAGAAGUAGAAUGAGACAGCCCAGCUCUGUAAGCAUGUUCUCAGCAAAGGGUGUAAAAAUAAUGAAAACAAGCAGGACAUUUAAAAUCUAUUGGCAAAGGAAAGGAUCAGAGAAGUUGUUUCUUUGACAGACAAAAACUUUUAAAAUCUUCCUUACUUCUGUACUUUCAGAAAAGAUAAGCAGUGAACACUCGGCUGCAAGUUGCAGGUACGAUGUUAGGACGGAAGGUAAAACCCAGAUAGGGAAUAGGGUGGUCCAAGAUGACCCAGAAAUAUGGCAUGUGUUGAGUUCAGUAGGGUCCAAAACAGGACUGUACAAAAGAACUGUCUGCAUUGCUGGGCAUCAUCUGUCUCUAGGCAGUGGUCACUAGCCACCUGUGGCUCUUGAGCACUCAAAAUGUGAACAAGUAUACCUGAAGCACUGGAUUUUUUAUUUUAUUUCAUUUUAAACACUGUGAAUGUAAUUAACCACAUGUAGCUGGAGUCUUCCAUAUUAGACAGGCCGAGUCUGGAGCAUGCACCCCAGGGCAAUUUGGGUUGUUAUGGAGAAGCCACAGGCCUAUCAUUCUGAGAAAUCACACAGGACAGAAGCUGAGCCAGAGGCCGGUGUUGUUUCUCUACUUUUCUAAGGGAGAUGCGACCACCAGAAAUAGGUCUAUCCAACGUCUUAAGGUACCUGGGAUGGAAUCUCCACAGUAAUGAGCUGCUAUGCAAUAUCUUAAUACCUGUUAAACUAGUCAUUCAUUCAUUCCUUGUAGAAAUAGGGAAAUGCUCAUUCUAUUUUACAGAAUGAAGUGCUGCCUGAUUGUAGAAUUGCAAAUACGAUAAAAGCCCAUGAAGAUUUCAAAAAAGAAAGAAAGAAAGUGUUAUUGAGUUCCGCUCUGGGGCCCAGGUGGUGAACCAAACAGACCCAGUCUCUGUCCUCAUCCCACAGAAAUGAUAAUCAAAAAGCAGUAGGGACAGACAUCAGACCAAUAAUCACAUUGAUUUGUUUCAUUAUAGUAAAAAAGUACUAUCAGUAAAGAGGACAGUGCUGUGAGAACAAAUAACAGGGGUCUCAGAGUCCUCUGAAGACAGCAGGGUGGCUGUCCUGGGGAAGCAGCGUUUAAGUAGGAGUUAGUCUGGCGAAGACGAAGACAUAGCAGGGGAUGGGUGGGAAAGGCAUUCCGGGGGGAGGGAAGGGUGUGCUGGUUGGCCCUGGGGAAUGGAGGACUUUGGUGGUAUUCCAGGAAUGGUAAGGAUGUGAGGACAGCCAGAAUGGAUUUAAAGAAUUCUAAGUAUCAUCAGCUGGUAGAGCCUUUAGUUACAUACAGCCCAGUGGUUUUUCCAACCUUUUAUGAUUAGCAGUAGAAUCCUUUAGCCAAACAAAAUACUGUGGGUAAUGCUCAUAAUAAGACAGGAAAAGGUGCCUCUGCUCAGGUCUCCUGUGCAUUUACUGCAUAGAAUCACCUCUGCUAAGCUUUGGGACUUCACACAACAUGGUUGGAAAAUACUACUGGAGUCAACUCUUCUCAUUUCACAGAUAAGGGAUCCGAAGCUCAAGGCAAGUGCGUGACUCGAUUCAGGCCACAUAGCUUCAUAUGAGCAUAGGGACAUUAGCACCAUGGUCCUCUGGCCUCGCUGCUGAGAGUUAUUUCUGCUUUGCUGCAAAGGAAAAAUUCUGAACCCUCUAUCAGGGAUUUCUUGGCAUCGAUUUCGGAACUCAGUUUUACUUGCCAAAAUUUUUGAGCACCUACUAUGCGUGCCAGGUACUUUCCUGGGAGCUGUACACAUACAAGUAAUUAAACAGGAUGUGGCCCGCCCCCCUUCCUGCCCUGGGUGUGGAGCACCGGCCAGGUGUGUGCUUGGGUGGUUGGUUACCGCCUUUUGCACCAGCGGCAGCGAGGAGGGGAGGGUGGGCGCUUUUCCCUUUUCUCUUAGAAGAGGCUUCAGCACAGGUUUUCUCGUUCUCAGUUCCACCCCACCUCACCACCUCCCGACCCCCCUUCUCCCCCUCCCCACCUAUCGUCAUGAGGGCCUCUCCGGAUUACUUGAUGGUGCUUUUUGGGAUCACUGCUGGGGCCACCGGGGCCAAGCUGGGCUCAGAUGAGAAGGAGCUGAUCCUGCUGCUAUGGAAAGUCGUGGAUGUAGCCAACAAGAAGGUGGGACAGUUGCACGAAGUACUAGUUAGACCGGAUCAGUUGGAACUGACGGAGGAUUGCAAAGAAGAAACUAAAAUAGAUGCCGAAAGCCUGUCCUCGGCGUCGCAGCUGGACCAAGCCCUCCGACAGUUUAACCAGUCAGUGAGCAAUGAACUUAAUGUUGGGGUGGGCACCUCCUUCUGUCUCUGUACUGAUGGGCAGCUUCAUGUCAGGCAAAUCCUGCAUCCUGAGGCUUCCAAGAAGAAUGUACUACUACCUGAAUGCUUCUAUUCCUUUUUUGAUCUUCGAAAAGAAUUCAAGAAGUGUUGCCCUGGGUCACCUGAUAUUGACAAACUAGAUGUUGCAGCAAUGACAGAGUGUUUAAACUUAGAGAAGGAUAGUUCGGUCUCCCGCUAUGGAGCCUCUCAAGUUGAACAUAUGGGAAACAUAAUUUUAGCAAUGAUUUCAGAACCUUAUAAUCACAGGUUUUCAGAUCCAGAGAGAGUAAAUUACAAAUUUGAAAGUGGCACUUGCAGCAAGAUGGAGCUUAUUGAUGAUAACACUGUAGUCAGGGCACGAGGUUUACCAUGGCAGUCUUCAGAUCAAGAUAUUGCAAGAUUCUUCAAAGGACUCAAUAUUGCCAAGGGAGGUGCAGCACUUUGUCUGAAUGCUCAGGGUCGAAGGAAUGGAGAAGCUCUGGUUAGGUUUGUAAGUGAGGAGCACAGAGACCUAGCACUACAGAGGCACAAACAUCACAUGGGGACUCGGUAUAUUGAGGUUUUACAAGGCAACAGGUGAAGAUUUUCUUAAAAUUGCCGGUGGUACCUCGAAUGAGGUAGCCCAGUUUCUCUCCAAGGAAAAUCAAGUCAUUGUCCGCAUGCGGGGGCUCCCUUUCACGGCCACAGCUAAAGAAGUGGUGGCCUUCUUUGGACAGCAUUGCCCCAUCACUGGGGGGAAGGAAGGCAUCCUCUUUGUCACCUACCCAGAUGGAAGGCCGACAGGGGAUGCUUUUGUACUCUUCGCUUGUGAGGAAUAUGCACAGAAUGCGUUGAGGAAGCAUAAGGACUUGUUGGGGAAAAGGUACAUUGAACUCUUCAGGAGCACAGCAGCUGAAGUUCAGCAGGUGCCGAAUCGAUUCUCCUCGGCCCCUCUCAUUCCACUUCCAACCCCUGCCAUUAUUCCAGUACUACCUCAGCAAUUCGUGGCCCCUACAAAUGUUAGAGACUGUAUACGCCUUCGAGGUCUUCCUUAUGCUGCCACAAUCGAAGACAUCUUGGACUUCCUGGGGGAGUUCUCCACCGAUAUUCGUACUCAUGGGGUUCACAUGGUAUUGAAUCACCAGGGCCGCCCUUCAGGAGAUGCCUUUAUCCAGAUGAAGUCUGCGGACAGAGCAUUUAUGGCUGCACAGAAGUGUCAUAAAAAAACCGUGAAGGACAGAUAUGUUGAAGUCUUUCAGUGUUCAGCUGAGGAGAUGAACUUUGUGUUAAUGGGGGGAACUUUAAAUCGAAAUGGCUUAUCCCCACCACAUGUAAGUUACCAUGUCCUCCCUCCUCCCUCCUACACGUUUCCAGCUCCUGCAGCAGUUAUUCCUACCGAAGCUGCCAUUUAUCAGCCCUCUGUGCUUUUGAAUCCACAAGCACUGCAGCCCUCUGCGGCACACUACCCAGCGGGCACCCAGCUCUUCAUGAACUACACGGCCUACUAUCCCAGCCCCCCAGAUUCCCCUAAUAGUCUUGGCUACUUCCCUACAGCUGCUAAUCUUAGCGGUGUCCCUCCACAGCCUGGCACGGUGGUCAGAAUGCAGGGCCUGGCCUACAAUACUGGAGUUAAGGAAAUUCUUAACUUCUUCCAAGGUUACCAGUAUGCAACCGAGGAUGGACUUGUAUACACAAAUGACCAGGCCAGGGGUCUACCCAAAGAAUGGGUUUGUAUUUAAGGGCCCCAGCAGUUAGAUCAUCCUCAGAAAAGAAGUGUUUGAAAGAUAUAUGGUGAUCUUCAAAAUGCCAGACACAAGAAAACUUCUAGCAACUUCAGGGGAAGUUUGUCUACACUCAGGCUGCAGUAUUUUCAGCAAACGUGAUUGGACAGUGGGCCUGUGCCUUAUCUUUUGGUGGAGUGUAAAAUUUGAGCCAUUGAAGCCAAAUCCUUAUAGCAAUUAGCAUGCAGCACACCUGGCUCCUUGCUGAUUGCAAACCAGGCAUUUAAAAUGUGAAUUUGAAAUCAGAUGUCUCCAUUACUUUUAGCUAAAGUGACAUCAUAGGUGUUUCCUAAGUUUUUAAGUCUUGGAUAAGAAAAUACUCCACCAGUGUCUACCAUCUCUACCAUGAACUGUCAUAGAAGCUUCACUUUUGUGUAUUUCUAUUUUCUCUCCAUCUCCCUGUCUUCUGCACAAUCAUUCCCUCUUGCUAAUUAAUUCAAGUGUAAAGUCUUGGAAUAUUUAAAUCACAAACUUAAGGAAUGAGAAGACACAAUUGGUAUUUUGGCAGCC